rnacentral:misc_RNA from 1 species
GAAAUGCGAUAAGUAAUGUGAAUUGCAGAAUUCAGUGAAUCAUCGAAUCUUUGAACGCACAUUGCGCCCGCCAGCAUUCUGGCGGGCAUGCCUGUUCGAGCGUCAUUUCAACCCUCGACUUCCCUUUGGGGAAAUCGGUGUUGGGGAUCGGCAGCACUAGCCGGCCCCGAAAUGGAGUGGCGGCCCGUCCGCGGCGACCUCUGCGUAGUAACUCAACCUCGCACCGGAACCCCGACGUGGCCACGCCGUAAAACACCCAACUUUCUGAACGUUGACCUCGGAUCAGGUAGGAAUACCCGCUGAACUUAA